rnacentral:lncRNA from 1 species
UCCACUUGCUUAAAAGGGCAGAUACAGUGUGAGCCCACCUUCUUAGCACAUCUGUGAAAGGAUCUCACGCCAGACCAUCCAUUGUCUUAAUCAUUCGCUUUUAAAUUUUAAAGGCCAUAUGGCUCUAGUGUCUCUCCUCUAACAUAUUUAUCACCGCUCCUUCACCUUUUGAGUAGGCUGAAACAUGACACAUUACAUCUGUGUUGAUAGUGUUUCAAAAGUUACUUUCCCCAAGUUGUUUUCCAUUUAUUAUCCAGUCCUUUUAUUUUUUUGAAACUACUUGAGACAAUAGUCACCAAAAACAAAUCCAUGAACAUGUGGACAUCUGGGUUGUUUGAUUUCUACGCAUCCUACACUGCCACCAGAACUGUGUAAAUUUCAGUAUGGUUUGCUAGUUGGUCUGGCUGGCCCCUUGUCCGUUUUCCCAUCUUAACAUGAAAGAAAGCAGCUUUUCAUUUAACCCUGCCUCUGGUUGGAGUGGGACUACUAUCCACUAGCAAAAACAUUGUCUCUACCUUCCUCCAGAAAAUUCUCCCAGCGCUGUCUCCACUUAGAAAGAGGCUUUCCCUCACUAAUUGGUGACAUGGACACUCCUUGGAGCAGCAGAGGAGCAAGUGGCUGACUGGUACCUCCAUAUAUAGUGCCAUGGGGGCAUGGUUUGGCCCUUUUCUGAAGGUGUCCUUGCAAUUUUAAUUGGAUGGUCUCUGCUCCUCUCUGAUUUGAUUGGAUCCAUAGCAUAACAAAAGUCUCUUCUCCAGCAAUAAAAUGGUUUUGAGGUUUUGGGGACCUGCCCCAUUAAGUUAUUUCAAUAGACCCAAGAAGCUGUGGAGUAUUUGAUUUUCUAGGGCUGUAUAAGUUGCCUUUGCCCUUGGAAUUUCUUGCACUCAAGUCUUGCUGGUCUCUGGAGGAUACCACAGAUGGGUUCAUUCAACAUGGAUCCUAAGCUCCUUCCUACCCCAUAGGGGCUGGAAAACCAAAAACUACACUUCCUAGACCCCCUUGUUUCUGAUGCGAUUUGGCUUUUUCAGGUUUGAUCUUAAUUAGGAAUUGAGUUAAGUGGGAGAGAGGCUGCAGCCAAUGAUGCAUCCAUUUUGCUGAUACAGAUCCAGCAGGUGUGGCAUGGCUGAUAAUGGCCUUCAUCCUCCAAUCACAGCUAAGGCACAACUGAGAGCCAUUGUUGGAGCAGCAGCUUCCUGAUCCCCAGAUAACAGUGAAGGUGGUGUGCGCCUGGAUCCUGAAGUUUAGACAGUCGCCUCCUGUGUCAGCCUCUUGAUUUGCCAUCUUCCUGAUUGACCUAGAGAUAGCAGUUUCCUUGACAGAGGAAGAAUGUAUUUCAUCAACCCUCUGUGGAGUUGGCUUGGGUACAUGCGAUUGACUUCAGGACAAUGAUUUGGUUCAUUUUGAAGUGGCAUCCAGCAGUCCAUGCUAUUCACCACCUUAACAGGAAAAGGAAGUGAAUUAACACUUAAAAAAUGAGUACACAGAGCCAUUUUCUGGCUUCCUUUGGGUUGGAUGGGACUGAUUGAACUGACCAAUGUAUCUGACCAUUCUUUGGAAAUGCAAGACUCUGAAAAGCUGCUUUUUCCAGCCAACACAACCACCAGCAAAUUUGGGGAUGGUCUGCAUACACACUGCUUUUGAGCAGUAUCUUCAGUGAAGGAAAAUGAAACAUAGCCUUUUAAAUUAACAUGCCAAGAGGGAUUCAAAACUUGCCAUUGCCUAGUUGGCAUUACAAAGACACCAGCUGCCAGAGUGUGAAGAAGCCUAGGCCACAUGGAGAAACCACUUGUAGAUGUUCCAGCUAACAAACUCUUCUGUGGUCCUGGCCAGCAGCCUGUAUUAACUGCUAGACAUGUGAAUGAAGAAGCUUUCAAGACUAAUCCAAUCCCACAUAUCAUCUGACUGCAACUGUGUGAGAGAUCCCAGAUACAUUUAAAGAGCCGCAUGAACACAAUUAAGAGGAAGGUCAGACUGAUUGCAAGUUCAUGAUGAGUAAAUGCUCUUUAUACUGCAAAAUGUCUUGUGCAAGGUUUCAAUUUUCAAAACCACUGGACUAUUUGCUUGCUUUUUCCACGGAAGAGCUGUUUUAUGUACACCAAGAAAGUGGAAGUUUUGUUUUGUUUGACUUUGGGUUUUCGUCCUUACAAAGCGAAGCGUACAUUUGUCCUUUAAUAGUAAUAAGCAGAAAUAAGGCAAGUAGGUACCCAUUAUUCUAGAGCAGCCCUGUCUAAUAGAAAGGUCAUGUGAACCACAUAAGCAAUUUUAAAUUUCCUAGUAGCCACAUUAAAAAUUAAAAAGAAAUGAAUGAAAUUAACUUUAAUGAUAUAUUUUAUUUAACACAAUAUAUCCAAAAUAUUACCAUUACAACACAUGAUCAAUAUUACAAAAAAUAUAACAGUGAGUUAUUUAGCAUUCUUUUUUCUUACUGAGUCUUUGAAGUUUGAUGUGCACUUUAUACUUAGAGAACAUUUCAAUUUGGAUUAGCCACAUUUCAAGAGCUUGUGGCUACCAUAUUGGAUGGUGCGGGUCUAGGAAAGGGUAACAUGUCUUUAAAAAGUAAUUUAGUGAAAGCUAUCUCCAGCCUUGACAUGCCAAAGAGAUCGCUCACUAAUGGGUCGCUACAGGUCACUAGCACUAGCUAAAGUGCACAGAUUUGCAUGAAGAACCCAGGUCAGCUGGUGGAGGAGAGAAAGAUGAAAAUGUUAGGGAGAUCUCUCAAGGUGGACAAAAAGUGGCUAAAUUAGGACCUACUUUUAGGUAAUUGCAAAGUGGACUGGUUUUGCAAAAUUAAUUUUUGCCAGAGGUGAUUUUAUUGCAAACUUCAAAUGAACUCAGUUCCAAUGAAUUUGAUUAGUUGAUUAUUUGAGCACAGUGUCACAAUAUCUGUAAGAGGCUGUUGGCAGAGGAUGAAGCAUGAUCUGUCAUUUGCCUUUUGCUGGAGUGUCUCCUAGAUGAAGUGUGCAUGAUUGGAAUGACAAUGCUGCAGGCACGCUUUGCCCAUUUGUGUAUGGUCUUUCAUAAACUCAAAAGGGACACUUAGGGGUCUCUCAGCUUCCAUAGAUCUCCCCCCAAAAAAGGAGUCGGAGAAGCCCUGACAGAUGUCAGAGAGUCCUUUGCCCUUUAUUUUAUUGUAGAAGCUCUCAGGUCACCACUCAUGAACUUCUCCUUUCUUAAUUUACAUACCUACAUACAAUAAGAAUAAAGAUGAUGAUGUUACCCUGUGCUUGUAUUGCACUUUUACUUUCGAAAUCCCUUCCACAUAUAUUAUUUAUUUUCAUUUCAACAAACUUUCUGCAAGUUAAAGAAAGCAGUCCAAUCCUACUGCCUCAAGGCCUUGGAUCUUUAAAAAAUCAAUUCAGAUCCCUGAACCUUGCUCUUUUAUCUUGCAAUAUGAAUAAUACCAGUUUUCCCUUACGGCUUUUAGUUAAAUAAGACAGCAUAUUUAAAAUGCAUUGCAUAUUGUAUGUGAUCAUUAGGUGUUAGUUACCCUCAUCGUUAGAAAUUUAAAUUAAAAAUUUAGCAAACUGUAUGGUCAGUUUUAGACAUGUUGCAAUCUUCAUGGCUAAAGUAAACACUUUGACAUAUAAAAUCAUUGACCCCUAGGACUAGAAGGCUCUGAGAUUCCAAUCAGUAACAUGCUUUGAGGAGCUACAAUAUGCCAGGCACUGUGCCAGGCAUAGAGGGUCUACUCCACACUACAAGAGGCAGAAGCUGAGGACCAUUGUUCAUGGUCACAUGGUUAAUGUAUAAUGACAGUGGCAUUAAGCUAUAGCUUUUCUAAUAAGUCCAGCCACUUUUUAUGACACUACUUCCAUCUCUUCCUCCCCUAAACUCUUAACAAU